UCAAAUUACCCAAAAUUUGAGCUAGUGGCCAUGCUAUGGGUGGAAACAUGUUGGGAACAUGUUGGCUUAGUGUGUUAUGUUAGAAAGAAUAAAUAAAGGGUUAGUAAUUAAGUAAUGAAAAGGGAGGGGUGAUGAAAACAAAGUUGUCUCAUCCAUCCCCCCCCUCCAUUUUGCCGUAACUAGACAAAGAAAAGAAAAAAAAAAAGAAAGGGUGUUCAUCCUUUAACACCUUGGCCGAAAAUUUGAAGGAGGAAGGAAGAAGAAAGGUUGAAG
rnacentral:lncRNA from 1 species